CCUACGGGUGGCAGCAGUGGGGAAUAUUGGACAAUGGGGGGAACCCUGAUCCAGCCAUGCCGCGUGUGUGAAGAAGGCCCUCGGGUUGUAAAGCACUUUCAGUGAGGAAGAACGCCUGGUGGUUAAUACCCAUCAGGAAAGACAUCACUCACAGAAGAAGCACCGGCUAACUCCGUGCCAGCAGCCGCGGUAAUACGGAGGGUGCGAGCGUUAAUCGGAAUUACUGGGCGUAAAGCGCGCGUAGGUGGCUUGAUAAGCCGGUUGUGAAAGCCCCGGGCUCAACCUGGGAACGGCAUCCGGAACUGUCAAGCUAGAGUGCAGGAGAGGAAGGUAGAAUUCCCGGUGUAGCGGUGAAAUGCGUAGAGAUCGGGAGGAAUACCAGUGGCGAAGGCGGCCUUCUGGACUGAUACUGACACUGAGGUGCGAAAGCGUGGGUAGCAAACAGGAUUAGAUACCCUGGUAGUC
rnacentral:rRNA from 1 species